rnacentral:rRNA from 1 species
GACGAACGCUGGCGGCGUGCUUAACACAUGCAAGUCGAACGAAGUGGCGAACGGGUGAGUAACGCGUAAUCAACCUGCCCUUCAGAGGGGGACAACAGUUGGAAACGACUGCUAAUACCGCAUACUGAAGGAGGGGAUUGCGUCUGAUUAGCGAGGUGGCUGGGUACCGGCCCACCAAGGCGAUGAUCAGGAGCCGGUCUGGAAGGGUGAUGGGCCACAUUGGAAGUGAGAUACGGCCCAGACUCCUACGGGAGGCAGCAGUGGGGAAUCUUCCGCAAUGGACGAAAGUCUGACGGAGCAACGCCGCGUGAGUGAUGACGGACUUCGGGUUGUAAAGCGCUGUUAAUCGGGACGAGGUACCGGAAUAGAAAGCCACGGCUAACUACGUGCCAGCCGCCGCGGUAAUAC